AGACAGAUAUGGGAUAACUCUAUGGAUGCUUCAAAAGCACUUAAAGGAUAAACCCUCAACUAUAGAGACACUUAUGCUUCCAGAAUAGAUUAUAACCUAAAGGAUGCUAGAGUCAGGAUUCACCCUGGCUCCCUUUCUCUGAGGAUUCUGGCACUUUGAGUUCCCACUGCGUUUAUUAAAUGACAUAGUAUAGUCCAUGAGACACAGCAAUAUGUAACAGACAAUGAAUGCUAUAUGAUGGAUCCAUUCAUUCACUGUAUGGAUAAAAUAUCUAAGGUUAUGCAGUAUGCACGAGGCACUCCUGGGUGCUAGGGACACACUGAUGAGCAAAAGCAGCCUCUGCCCCUAGACAUCUGAGUCUAAUGGAGGAACCAGUCACGGGACCCAGUUUUUCUCUCAGAGUAUAAUCACCAUUUGCAGGAUUUGGAAGAAAACUAAAGAUCAUGAAAGUUGUUAA
ensembl:lncRNA novel transcript